rnacentral:misc_RNA from 1 species
AAGUCGUAACAAGGUUUCCGUAGGUGAACCUGCGGAAGGAUCAUUAGCGAGAUUGCCGUGCGCGCCAGACCCGCAAGGUUUGUGCGCGUGCGAGCAAGCGCCAUCCUUGUGUUAUGUGUGUGAUGUCGCAUGUGCCCACACUUCUCUCGGGGGGAGUGAGCACGUGCGCACAUUUUUUUCACCCAUUAUUAUUCGCAUUUUAUUCUAAUCCACUGCUCAUACGAGCACAAACAACCGAAAACUGCCAGCAAUGGAUCACUCGGUUCUC